rnacentral:lncRNA from 1 species
GUGGGUGAUUCCAUUCAGUUAGCCACCCCCAUGGCCCCACAGUUAAUAUGUCUUAGCUACGUUUUCUGAAUCCAAAUGCCAACUAAGGUUGGAAGAUACACUCCUUCCCUGGAGUAGGCAUGCCAACAUUUAUUUUCAGCAAAGUUUCCUUAGGCUUUUAAGUUUUCUUACUCAUAAAAUACUCNGCUUAUUACAGAAUAUUGAACUCCUAGUGCAAGGCAAAAUCAUCAUUACAGCUUCAGGNUGAAAUUAUCAUAAGCUCAAGGUGACUGAUACUGCAUCAUAAGCCAAUANGAGUUAAAGUUCGAGCAAUGCUUAAAGCAUCGUACGACAUUUCUCAUUCAAAUGUGCUUAUGCUUUUUAUCAAGACUUUUUAAGGCAAAACACAAUAACCAAAACAUCUUACCAAAACUGAACUAGGCUAGUUCAAAAUCUCCCAGUAAAUUAUUGCUCUUGUUAGGAACUCCUGAGUUGGAUUUGACGCCUCAUCCUUCUGUGGACACAUCCACUCCAUUCCAGAAGUCUCUUUGAGGACACCCAUUCACCUUGACUGUUUUCUUCCCUUUCCUCUGCUUCUUUCAACUUUGCCAAGAGCAACAAUCUUUUCUAGUCCCCACAUCAUCCCAAAUCAUCCGUUCCCAUCACGUGACCAAAGCAGAUUUGUUCAUAGUAGAAUAAAGAGGGAGAAACAGCAUCUGAUGUGUCAGGUGGACAUGAGGCAGAGUUUGGAAAAACAUCACAAAAAUCAAGGAUGCAAUGCAAUAUAAUCCUGACAAAAAUCCACCCUUAAACUCGGUGCCUACUUUUUGUUUUGUUUUGUCUGAAUUAAAGCCAUAGCUGGUCUGAAACAUCCUCAUUUCCCAGCACCAAACCCUUUUAACUAGAUGGGUGAGAUUCUAUUUUUUUUUUCUUUUCUCCUGAGNUUGGGAACAAGCAGUCUUUUGACUUUUAUUAUUAAACAACACCUUGCUGAAGCAAGAAAUCAACAUCUCAGGCACCUUGUCAUGGGUGAUCAUG